GCUGGCAAACAAGUCCACCGUGGCUUUGAAAAACGCUUUCCUUGAUAAAAUUUAAGCGUUUUAUAAGAGGAUGCCGGGGAAGGUUUUCCGGUUUAUCCCGGAGGGCUUGUAGCUCAGUUGGUUAGAGCGCGCGCUUGAUAAGCGUGAGGUCGGAGGUUCAAGUCCUCCCAGGCCCACCAGUUUAUCCAUUACUUUCAUAAGUGCUUUUAAAAAAUAAGUACUUCUAAAAAGAUUGCUUCUAAAAAGAUUGCUUCUAAAAAGAUUGCUUCUAAAAAGCUUAUCAAAAUUGGCAGGCUUAUUGCUUUUGUGUGAGUAAUCCAAAGUUAAAGCAAAUUAAUGGCAAAAAAACAGUUCAAAUGCUAAAUACUAAGGAGUCAAAAUUCCUUGCAAAGUGAUUUUUACAGCGUCCAUUUGGUUGAUAUAAAUUCCAAAUGCUCAUAGACGUCAAUGCCUAUAUGAAACUAUCGGUUCAAUCAUAUCGCUUUGAGUUAUAUAGAUUUUGUAAUCCCUCUUUUGAUCGUUUUAAACGCUUUAUCCUGAUUUAGGGGCCGUAGCUCAGCUGGGAGAGCACCUGCUUUGCAAGCAGGGGGCGUUCGGGUUCA
rnacentral:misc_RNA from 1 species